rnacentral:rRNA from 1 species
AGUAACGCGUGGAUAACCUGCCUCACACAGGGGAUAACAGUUAGAAAUGACUGCUAAUACCGCAUAAGCGCACGGUACCGCAUGGUACAGUGUGAAAAACUCCGGUGGUGUGAGAUGGAUCCGCGUCUGAUUAGGUAGUUGGUGAGGUAACGGCCCACCAAGCCGACGAUCAGUAGCCGACCUGAGAGGGUGACCGGCCACAUUGGGACUGAGACACGGCCCAA